CAUGAAUAAUAAAGCCACAUGCAGAUACAGUGAUGGUGUGAACAUCCGCAACGUAGUGGCAGCAUAACAUUCUCGCACCGAAAGGCGAACCGUAUUAACGAGGCAUCUGAUUGGCCAGAACGAAAGUUAUUUUUUUAAUACCGGACACAUUCGUUUUGAACUAUUGAGAGGUUUCUAGUCUUUCAGAACUUGUCAAAAUUGUAUUUUUAUACCACUUAGAGAACCAGUCGUAUGAAGUUAUAUGUAUACUGCACGUGCUGUACAAUUACAGAAAUAAUAUACAUAAAGAUAUUACUCGACUGUGAUUGGUUGAUUUCAGUGCAGUUAAUCCCAAACAGUAGUGCAAUUUUCUGUAAUCACAGUGCAAUUUUUUGUAAUCACAGUGCAAUUUUCUGUAAUCACAGUGCAAUUUUCUGUAAUCACAG